UACGUAGGGUGCAAGCGUUAAUCGGAAUUACUGGGCGUAAAGCGUGCGCAGGCGGUUUUGUAGUCUGUCGUGAAAUCCCCGGGCUCAACCUGGGAAUUGCGAUGGAGACUGCAAGGCUAGAAUCUGGCAGAGGGGGGUAGAAUUCCACGUGUAGCAGUGAAAUGCGUAGAGAUGUGGAGGAACACCGAUGGCGAAGGCAGCCCCCUGGGUCAAGAUUGACGCUCAUGCACGAAAGCGUGGGGAGCAAACAGG
rnacentral:rRNA from 1 species